CAGAGGGUAGUUUAAUUUAGAAUCUUAGC
rnacentral:tRNA from 1 species